rnacentral:rRNA from 1 species
CCUACGGGAGGCAGCAGUGAGGAAUAUUGGUCAAUGGACGCAAGUCUGAACCAGCCAUGCAGCGUGCAGGAAGAAGGUGCUAUGCAUUGUAAACUGCUUUUAUACGGGGGUAAUACCAGAUACGUGUAUCUGGCUGCACGUACCUUAUGAAUAAGGAUCGGCUAACUCCGUGCCAGCAGCCGCGGUAAUACGGAGGAUCCGAGCGUUAUCCGGAUUUAUUGGGUUUAAAGGGUGCGUAGGCGGUCAGGUAAGUUAGAGGUGAAAGCUCGAUGCUCAACAUUGAAACUGCCUCUGAUACUGUCGGACUAGAGUGUAGUUGCGGAAGGCGGAAUGUGUGGUGUAGCGGUGAAAUGCUUAGAUAUCACACAGAACACCGAUUGCGAAGGCAGCUUGCUAAGCUAUGACUGACGCUGAGGCACGAAAGUGUGGGGAGCGAACAGGAUUAGAUACCCGGGUAGUC